UACAGAGGGUGCAAACGUUGUUCGGAAUUACUGGGCGUAAAGCGCGUGUAGGCGGUCUUGUAGGUCAGGUGUGAAAUCCCCCGGCUCAACCGAGGAAGUGCACUUGAAACCACAAGACUUGAGUGUCGGAGAGGAAGGCGGAAUUGUCGGUGUAGAGGUGAAAUUCGUAGAUAUCGACAGGAACACCUGCGGCGAAAGCGGCCUUCUGGACGAACACUGACGCUGAGACGCGAAAGCGUGGGGAGCAAACAGG
rnacentral:rRNA from 1 species